AUGAUGGCUACCAGAAGACAUGAACAAAGGGUAAGUGGCAUUAAAUAUCUGAAGAACCUUUAUGUGUGUAUUGACCUGUAUGCAGAAGGCAGACCAGUCUGUGACACUGCUGGAGGAACUGGAUCUUCCCAUGGACUGCUAGUGAAACUGACAUGUUCUACAAGCCUUUGAAAACCUAUUUAGAGCUGCAGCUACAACAGACUUGUCCCUUGGAUAG
rnacentral:lncRNA from 1 species